GCCGGGCGUUGGUGGCGCACGCCUUUAAUCCCAGCACUGGGGAGGCAGAGGCAGGCGGAUCUCUGUGAGUUCAAGGCCAGCCUGGUCUCCAGAGCGAGUGCCAGGACAGGCUCCAAAGCUACACAGAGAAACCCUGUCUCGAAAAACCAAAAAACAAAAAAAUAAAUAAAUAAAUAAAAUAAAUAAAAAAUAAAUAAAAAUAAAUAAAGAAAGAAGAAAUGUUCAAAAAUAAAAUAUUCUGAAAUUUUUGUUUGUUUGUUUUUGAGACAGGGUUUCUCUGUGUAGCUUUGGAGCCUGUCCUGGCACUCGCUCUGGAGACCAGGCUGGCCUUGAACUCACAGAGAUCCAUCUGCCUCUG
rnacentral:SRP_RNA from 1 species